rnacentral:rRNA from 1 species
AUUGAACGCUGGCGGCAGGCCUAACACAUGCAAGUCGAACGAGUGGCGGACGGGUGAGUAAUGUCUGGGAAACUGCCCGAUGGCGGGGGAUAACUACUGGAAACGGUAGCUAAUACCGCAUACCAUCGGAUGUGCCCAGAUGGGAUUAGCUAGUAGGUGGGGUAACGGCUCACCUCGGCGACGAUCCCUAGCUGGUCUGAGAGGAUGACCAGCAACCAUGGAAAGGAGAAACGGUCCACACGCCUACGGGAGGCAGCAGUGGGGAAUAUGGCACAAUGGGCGCAAGCAUGAAGCAGCCAAGCCGCGUGGAGGAAGAAGGCCUUCGGGUUGUAAAGUACUUUCAGCGAGGAGGUGUUACUCGCAGAAGAAGCACCGGCUAACUCCGUGACAGCAGCGCGGUAAUAC